CGGACGGGUGAGUAAUGUCUGGGAAACUGCCUGAUGGAGGGGGAUAACUACUGGAAACGGUAGCUAAUACCGCAUAAUGUCGCAAGACCAAAGAGGGGGACCUUCGGGCCUCUUGCCAUCAGAUGUGCCCAGAUGGGAUUAGCUUGUUGGUGGGGUAACGGCUCACCAAGGCGACGAUCCCUAGCUGGUCUGAGAGGAUGACCAGCCACACUGGAACUGAGACACGGUCCAG
rnacentral:rRNA from 1 species